GACGAACGCUGGCGGCGUGCCUAAUACAUGCAAGUUGAGCGAUGAAGAUUGGUGCUUGCACCAAUUUGAAGAGCAGCGAACGGGUGAGUAACGCGUGGGGAAUCUGCCUUUGAGCGGGGGACAACAUUUGGAAACGAAUGCUAAUACCGCAUAACAACUUUAAACAUAAGUUUUAAGUUUGAAAGAUGCAAUUGCAUCACUCAAAGAUGAUCCCGCGUUGUAUUAGCUAGUUGGUGAGGUAAAGGCUCACCAAGGCGAUGAUACAUAGCCGACCUGAGAGGGUGAUCGGCCACAUUGGGACUGAGACACGGCCCAAACUCCUAUGGGAGGCAGCAGUAGGGAAUCUUCGGCAAUGGACGAAAGUCUGACCGAGCAACGCCGCGUGAGUGAAGAAGGUUUUCGGAUCGUAAAACUCUGUUGGUAGAGAAGAACGUUGGUGAGAGUGGAAAGCUCAUCAAGUGACGGUAACUACCCAGAAAGGGACGGCUAACUACGUG
rnacentral:rRNA from 1 species